rnacentral:rRNA from 1 species
GACGAAGGGGGCUAGCGUUGUUCGGAAUUACUGGGCGUAAAGGGCGCGUAGGCGGCGCAUCAAGUCAGGCGUGAAAGCCCUGGGCUCAACCCGGGAAUUGCGCUUGAGACUGGUGUGCUUGAGUACGGGAGAGGAUAGUGGAAUUCCCAGUGUAGAGGUGAAAUUCGUAGAUAUUGGGAAGAACACCAGUGGCGAAAGGCGGCUAUCUGGGUCGAUACUGACGCUGAGGUGCGAAAGCGUGGGGAGCAAACAGG